rnacentral:rRNA from 1 species
CUUAAGCAUAUCAAUAAGCGGAGGAAAAGAAACCAACAGGGAUUGCCCCAGUAACGGCGAGUGAAGCGGCAACAGCUCAAAUUUGAAAUCUGGCCCCUCGGCCCGAGUUGUAAUUUGUAGAGGAUGCUUCUGGGUAGCGACCGGUCUAAGUUCCUUGGAACAGGACGUCAUAGAGGGUGAGAAUCCCGUAUGCGACCGGCCCGCGCCCUCCACGUAGCUCCUUCGACGAGUCGAGUUGUUUGGGAAUGCAGCUCUAAAUGGGAGGUAAAUUUCUUCUAAAGCUAAAUACCGGCCAGAGACCGAUAGCGCACAAGUAGAGUGAUCGAAAGAUGAAAAGCACUUUGGAAAGAGAGUUAAAAAGCACGUGAAAUUGUUGAAAGGGAAGCGCUUACAACCAGACUUCGGGGCGGUGUUCCGCCGGUCUUCUGACCGGUCCACUCUCCGUCCCGAGGCCAACAUCAUCUGGGACCGCCGGACAAGACCUCAGGAAUGUGGCUCCCCUCGGGGAGUGUUAUAGCCUGUGGUGAUGCGGCGCGUCCCGGGUGAGGUCCGCGCUUCGGCAAGGAUGUUGGCGUAAUGGUUGUCAGCGGCCCGUCUUGAAACACGGACCAAGGAGUCUAACAUCUAUGCGAGUGUUCGGGUGUCAAACCCCUACGCGGAAUGAAAGUGAACGGAGGUGGGAACUUUUUGUGCACCAUCGACCGAUCCUGAUGUCCUCGGAUGGAUUUGAGUAAGAGCAUAGCUGUUGGGACCCGAAAGAUGGUGAACUAUGCCUGAAUAGGGUGAAGCCAGAGGAAACUCUGGUGGAGGCUCGCAGCGGUUCUGACGUGCAAAUCGAUCGUCGAAUUUGGGUAUAGGGGCGAAAGACUAAUCGAACCAU